GGUGUAGCACUUGCCGCACAACUCCGUGUGGCCAUAGGUCCCCGGCGGCACGCACUUGCAGACGCUGCAGCAGGUGAUGCAAGCUCGAGAGCACACGUUCUGCCGCGAGUGCAGCUUGCACCGGUCCUUGCAAGCGUCGCCGCACUCUGCACCACCAGCAAAGCACGUCGAUGACGCUUGCCAAUGACCUACGCAGAACCAAACGACAAGAGCUUCUCACCUUUGGUGUCCUUGAUGAUGCGAGGUGCAGGAGGAGCCGGAACAGGAGCGACCACAGGAGCCUUGGCAUAGCCCGCCUCCAUGAACGCGUCCUUUGCGUCGGACGAGACCUGCAACAUCGAACACGUGUUCAUCAGACGCGCUACGCGCGGUUCCCUUCGUCCGAAGAGUAGAACUCAGAUGGCUGGCUUAC
rnacentral:lncRNA from 1 species